rfam:Burkholderia cenocepacia J2315 chromosome 1, complete genome
UUGCUAACGCGGGGGUCCUGCAAUGCGUUCGGUCAAACAACCGGCAUUGCGGGUGAGAAAUACCCUUUGAACCUGAUCUGGAUAAUGCCAGCGCAGGGAAGCGUACGGAUUUCGCCG